rnacentral:rRNA from 1 species
GACGAACGCUGGCGGCGUGCUUAACACAUGCAAGUCGAACGGAAAGGCCCUGCUUUUGUGGGGUGCUCGAGUGGCGAACGGGUAAGUAACACGUGAGUAACCUGCCCUUGACUUUGGGAUAACUUCAGGAAACUGGGGCUAAUACCGGAUAGGAGCUCCUGCUGCAUGGUGGGGGUUGGAAAGUUUCGGCGGUUGGGGAUGGACUCGCGGCUUAUCAGCUUGUUGGUGGGGUAGUGGCUUACCAAGGCUUUGACGGGUAGCCGGCCUGAGAGGGUGACCGGCCACAUUGGGACUGAGAGACGGCCCAGACUCCUACGGGAGGCAGCAGUGGGGAAUAUUGCACAAUGGGCGGAAGCCUGAUGCAGCAACGCCGCGUGCGGGAUGACGGCCUUCGGGUUGUAAACCGCUUUCGCCUGUGACGAAGCGUGAGUGACGGUAAUGGGUAAAGAAGCACCGGCUAACUACGUG